rnacentral:rRNA from 1 species
AGUUUUUUUAUUUUAUAAAAGAUAUAACCUGCCCAUUGAAAUAAUUUAAAAGGCUGCAGUAUAUUGACUGUACAAAGGUAGCAUAAUCAUUAGGUUUUUAAUUGAAAUCUUGAAUGAAUGGUAAAAUGAAAUAAAAUCUUUUUUAAUUUUAAUAUUUGAAUUUUUUUUAUUAGUAAAAAAUCUGAUAUAAUAAAAAAAGACGAGAAGACCCUAUAGAAUUUAAUAAUUUAAAAAUUAAUUUAUGGAUUUUAUAUUUAUUAUUAUUAUUAUUUAUUUUAUUUUGUUGGGGAGAUAAUAAAAUUUAUUUAACUUUUAUAUUUUAUAUUCAAAAUAAAUAAUUGUAAUUUUUUGAUCUUUUAUUAUAGAUUAAUAAAAUAAAUUACCUUAGGGAUAACAGCAUAAUAUUAUUAAUAAGUUCUUAUUUUUAGUAAAUUUUAUGACCUCGAUGUUGAAUUAAAAUAAUUAUUAUAUGAAGGGAUAUAAUAAAUAAGUCUGUUCGA